UACGUAGGGUGCGAGCGUUAAUCGGAAUUACUGGGCGUAAAGCGUGCGCAGGCGGCGGCUCAAGUCAGGGGUGAAAUCCCGGGGCUCAACCCCGUGACUGCAUCCGAUACUGUCAGGCUAGAGGUAGGUAGGGGAGAUCGGAAUUCCUGGUGUAGCGGUGAAAUGCGUAGAUAUCUGGAGGAACACCGGUGGCGAAGGCGGCGUUCUGGACUGUCUCUGACACUGAAGAACGAAAGCCAGGGGAGCAAACGGGAGUUAGAA
rnacentral:rRNA from 1 species